GCAGUUUUUGGGGUUAAAAAUGCAGAUUUUUGGGGUCUGGGGACAGAUUUUGAGAUAAAAAAGGCAGAUUUUGUGGUGUGGGAGGAAAUUCUGAGGUAAAAAUUGCAGAUUUUGA